UGCCUCAGCCUCUCAAAGUGCUGGGAAUACAGGUGUAAGCUAUCACACUCAGCUUUGGAUCAAACUUCUAACACUCAUAAAAAACACCUGGGACUUCCUGAGAGCCAGCUUGGGCUUUUGUUACUGCCUCCCCUGCUCAUGAUGGGUAUUUGCAUAUCGUUAGACCCUCAGUUUAGAAGAAGUUGCACCUGAGAUGAAUCUCUGGCAGAGUUUUGGUCCAGGAAAGGCCCUGACCUGUGGCUGGGAGUCCUUCUUCCCUUAACGCCAAGUGGCCAGUUGUGAUCCAUGUCCCUCUUCUUGAGACUCAGAGCUCGUUGCUUGUCAGCUCUUUGUUCCUUAUCCACCACCUGUUAAGCUGAGGAACAGACUCAGUGGGAGAUGGAGGGUUGGGGUGGGCAACGUGAUAAUGAGUUUGAUUUCGAGAAUGUUGCCAUUGAGGCAGCUGACAUCCAGCUAGAGGACAGCUCUAAAACUAUUAGGAGAGAUCUGAACCACUGAUAAAGCAAUGUGGGGAUCUGAUACAUAUUCGCAGUGUGUUUCUUAGGAAUUACGUUUAGUUACUAGAAGAAACUUUCUUGUCAAAGACCAGAAGCAACAAUGGCUGAAACGAGACGGAAACAUAUUGUGCAUCACCUUAAUGGGCCGGUGCGUGGGUAUCGUGGUGUUUUCGGGGACCUAUCUAUCUUUCUGCCCCACCAUUUUAGUAUGUAUCCCCCAUUUUGGAUUUGUCUUAUGAUCAAAUAUUGCUGUUAGAGCACCCGUCAUCAUCUUUACAUUUCAGGCAGAAAGCAGGAAAAAAGGUGGGAGGUUUUUUUUUUUUUAAAAAAAGAAAAGUGCUAUGCUUGCAGCUGUCUACCUUCCCUUUAAGUCCUACCCACUGACUUCUGUAUACACAUUGUAAGGGAAAUGGCUGCACUUGAGUGAGGAACAGGCGAAGUGGCACCGCGGGAUUCAGCGGGCUUGGAGCUCGGGCAGGUGCACAACUCCGCACAUUACGUCACCACAGCAUGUGAGGCGCAUUAGGUGAGCAGUCACGUGAGCUCGUGCUUCAGUCGGAGCCACUAUUGUCUGCAAAAGGUAUAAUUACCCUGCUAACGCUGGGCCUAGGGGUCGCGCCCAGAAAGAGAACAAAGCCAUGUCAGAGCUGCCUACAAUUCCGACGGUGUUUUUCCAGCUGCCCGCCACCCGCCCACCGACUUCCCUUGGACCUCAGUUUGGGAUAGAACCUGGUAACUGGUGUCAAGAACAGGAUUCUGAGGUGAGUGAGGCUUUGGCCUUGCCGACGCCGGGCCGGCCAUGUGGUCGCAAAAUGGGUUUUAGUGGCAGCUGUGCUGCUCGGAUGGGCUUCGAUGGAAACCUGGGUGUGGGUAGACGGGUCUCCCGCGAGCAUGGAGACGGUGCUGAGGCCACUGGAAGCACCCAGCACUGAGAAGGAGGGAGCCUUUGCCGGCAGAAUUGGUUGGGUGUUUUUGACUGUGCUACGAAAAGUAUGCCCCCAGUCCCUGAGGGAUGCAGCACAGGUGAGGGACCUCCAGGCGCAGGCAGGGUGCCUGGAGGCCUGGCGACACAGAUCAGGAAAAGAGUUAGAGGCUGCCGUGAAUGGGGAUCUCCAGGUUCAGGUGGGGCACCUGGAGGCCCGGCUUCAGAGCUUGGAAAAAGAAUUAGAGGCUGCCAUGAAUGCAGGCCUGGGUCGUCGUCGACUCAGCAGAGACCCCCCCACUCGAUCUGAUACCAAGGAGGAAGAACCCCAAUGCGGGGUUGCGCAGUGAUCCAUCAGAAGGUAGAUCACGAACAGCUGUUGGGACCCCAAGGGCGCGCUCAGGGACGGCCCACCGUAACACAACACACUUCACGUAGUGCCUCUGCCACAACUGAGUUGCAGGAAUUAGGCAAGCAGGGCCAGCAGCGUCCAGGGGAACCCUGCCUGCCUGGUUGCUUCAUUUGUGAAAUGAGGGAGCAGAUAGUAUUUCUUGUUCUGCCUCUGAGAUGGAAGAGCUGGCCACCAUCAAGACUCAUCCCUUGCCCUGUCAGUGGUUGCAAGUGAGGAGGCAGUUAAUGGCAGGGCAAGGUGACCACGCCCUGAUUGAGUGGCUGUGGGCAGCCAUACUGACUGUGUGAAAUGACGCCAGUGGAAUACCCGAAACUGUAAGUGGCAGUUGUAUGCCAAUUUGGUGCAAGUCAUCUGGGAGAUGGCUAUGCGUUAGGCUAUGUCUGACAUGAAUUCCUGGGGGCAGUGAUGAAUGCUUCACCUCCAGUUGAGGGGCUUUGUGUUGAGAUCUGUGCCUGAGCGCCUUUCACUUCCUGGCUACUGUCUUCACCCCUUAUGUAGGGUGCCACAUACAUGAAAUGACUACUGCUGUGGUGGCUCUCAGGGAAUCAGAAGGCCAUCGGUGGGACCAAGGGGUCCGUGCCAUAAAGAAGGGGAAGCUGCCCUACCUGCAGGGGGCUCCCCCAUGGGAAAAAAGGGGGCCCCAGUGAGUAACAUGUUCACAGGUGUGAAGAGAUUUGGUUUUGGCCAGGGUUGACUGAGAGAAAAAUCAAUAAGCAGCCCAGUGAAAUAGUCUUAACUUUGUGGAGAAGGUGAUCUUUGGGGCAGCAAUUUCAGAAAAUGUCCAAGCGGUAGAAGGACAUUGCUGUGCAGUCCUGUCCUGCCUGGGCAUUGGUUCCAACUUGGAAACUACUCACUGCAGCCAGGAGGAAAUGCUGAGCCUUUUAUGUUUGAUUAGGGAACUGGCUGAGGUGCUCAGCUUGGGAAGACACAGGAUGACUGGAGGCCACAUGUGGAAUUAGCAAUCCACUGGUCCCUCACCAGUGUACAGUGGGUGCUGGUGCUGGUAGAUACCGGCGCAGCUUGUAGCCUUGUUGAUGGGAACCCAGAUAAGUUUCCCUGGGCAAAGCUGCAAACAUUGACGCUUAUGGAGGCCGGCCAGUGAAAGUGAGACCUGUAUCUCUGUGCCUCAGCAUUGGCAGCUUGGCUCCCCGUUUAUGUACUGUAUAUGUCUCUCCCAUACCAGAAUACAUUCUGGGGGUGUACAUUGUACAUGGCCUGGUGUUACAAACCAUGGCCGGUGAGUUCAGACUCCCAGUGCAUGUGGUAAAGCUGGCGCUGUGCAGACAUGCGCGUCACCAGCCUCAGGUCGUGCCACAGCCCCAACAGGUUACUUCCACGCAUCAGUACCAUUUGGUGGGUGGGCAUAUGGAGAUAACUGGGACAACCAAAAAGCUGGAGGAGGUGCAGAUAGUGUGUGGCCCUCACAGCUCCUACAGUUCUCCAGUGUGGCCAGUUUGAAAGCCUGAUGGAAUCUGGCGGACGAUGGUGGACUAUUGGGAACUGAAUAACAUCCCCUUUGCAUGCAGCUGUACUGUCAAUCAUGCAUUUAAUGGACCAUUUGACUGCGGAACUGGCACAAUAUCAUUAUGUAGUGGGCUUGACCGAUGCACUUUUCUCCAUCAGCAUCACUCCAGAGAGCCAGGAACAGUUCACCUUCACGUGGGAAAGGCAACAAUGGACUUUGACAGUGUUGCCGCAGGGCUGUGUGCCUACGCCCACCAUAUGUCUUGUCUUGUUUCCAUAGAUUUAGCCUCCUGGCAGUGUCCAGAAGGGGCCUGCCUAUUCUGUUAUGUUAAUGAUGCUCGUGCCUCUUGUAGCCACGUUUGGCGGCAUGUGGUUGGGCUGUCAGCGAAUCCAAGGUCCAAGGGCCUGGAUUAUCUGCCAGAUUAUUGGGAGUUAUCUGGUCAGAACCUCACCUGUCUGCUGGAUGUUUCCUUCCUGGAAAUAAAAUUACCUCCAUUC